AGCAGGGGGACACAGCGCGGCCUGACAACCUGUCGUCCGACUGAAGUUUGCAUUACAAUCCUCCUUUCUGUCCAUGUGACAGAAAAGAGGUUGCUGUCUGAGUGCAGUACAGACGCCGGGCAAAAACUAUCAAAAAGUUUGAACACCUCAAGUCUUCACGACAGUGCUGUUUUCCAGACGGGGUUCACAUCUGUUAACAUCUCAGCAGAAGACUGAACUUUGGGGAUCCGAUGCUCAGGUUUGGUUUCCACAACCGAGUCCACCUUGGAAAGUAAAGAAAGGUAAACAGC